CACAGGUUUGCGACGCAUAACGUAUUGAACAAUUAACAAUUCGUGGACUAUAAACGACACACUAUACACGAACUGCUAAACACAUAUCGCAAUUACACUAGGUAAGUAUGGAAUCAAAAUAUUUAAUUUUGGUAGUAAUCACGUUGUCGUAUCUUUUAUAAAAGCGUGACUUAAAACUAUAGAUUGGUCUUAAUUAUAUUAAUAUUUUUUUUUAAAAUCGAUGGACAAACUAGCAAUUAAUUAAACACAUAAAACAUGUGUCGUGACAUAAUAUUCUUAAAGUGUGCACGACGUCCUUACGAAGUUAACGCAACCGGAACAGAAUGAAACAUAUAUCCAACUCAGAAGUUAAUGCAUAUAUAUAGAAAUAUAUUAAUCGCAGAUUAACGACGACAGACUACGCGCACGGGGUAGACGAAGGGUACACCGGGGGUAGACGAAGCUCACCUCGUCGCGGCGACGGCGGACGGCGAGACAAACGCGGUGUGGCUCCCUGCUCGAUGGUGAGAAGUUGAAGGCGCCAACAACAGUGCGAUGGCGAACUCGGCGCGGUGAGAAAACCGAAUGGCGACACGGGUGACGGGGCAGUCAUGGUGCGAGGCUGCACACCGGCCACACGAUGUGGGCGGAAGCGAGGCUGCAGCGACAAGGCGGGGCUACGAUGAUGUCCUCUUUGUAGCCUUCUUCAACCUCCCUUCAAUGGGGAAAAAUAGCAAGGUGGGGAGAAGAGCAUGGCCGAAUCGGCCAUGGAGCCCUUGGACACAGCAGGGAGGCGGCACUGGGGUUCCUGCAGGAGGGCGGCGCCAUGGGUGUGGGUAGGAUGCGAGGGAUUCAUGCGUUGCGCGGAUUUUCCCAUAGCCGCGCGUAGGAGACGCUCAGGCCAAGGCGCCGAGGAGAGGCGCGACGUCGGCCAUGGUUGUGCGCGCAACAGGGAGGGCCGGCGAGAUGCUGUGGCUGCGAGAGAGAAGAACAGGGCCAAUGAGAUGGGCGUGAAUUGCUGCUGCGAAAUCGCCGCGACGUGGGCGGAUUUCUAGGCGCGCGUGGACGAAACGGACUGUUGCUCGGGGAAGAAGGGUCUGACUAGUGAGACGCGUCGUGGUGGGGCCUGCUGCUCAGCGCGGCUGGGCGCUGCCCGCCUGUGCACGCGCGAGCUGGGACGCAGGCUACGACCCUUGUGCAGCAUGUGCUUGUGGGCAGGGGCCACGCACAUGGCGUGAUUGGCCAUGGCUGCCUUGCGGACGGAGGCAUGGGAAAAGAAAGGUUUGCUUUUUGUAUCUUUUUAAAUUUCUUUUUCUCCCCAUUUAUAUAUAUAUUUAUAUAUAUGUGAAUAUGGAUAUAUAUCUUAUAUAUUAGAUCAUCCAAAAAUAAUAUUUCUUUUCUUUCUAAACGGAUACACAACAAGGCUAUUCUUAGCAAAUAAAAAAACUAGGCUUCAACGUCAAAUGCAACACACAUAUGUUUAUAUUUAAAUUAGCAGUAUAUAUAAUAGCUCCACACUAUAUAGGCAAAAGAAAAGAAAAGGAAAAGAGGGUAAAACCUAAAUUUUGAGUAUAUAACAAAGAAAUUUUUACACCCAAAAUUCAGGGUGUUACAAAUCUAACCCCCUUAACAGGAAUCUCGCCCCCGAGAUUCAAGAAGAAGCUAGCAAGAACAAUAAGGCUGGUUCAUCGAUUGCUCACGGCUUCCUUGAGUUGACUUUGACUCUGCAAGCUUAAGUUGUGGACCGGUUACUUUAACCUUUAGAUGUUCAUGAUUCACUGAUGCAAUUCUUGAGGAUGUCUUGGACUUAUGGGUUAGGACCCACACACACUUUCGCUGCGCCACUUUGAUCUUGUUGGUUGAUUUUGACCGCAUUGUCUUCAUUGGGGUUAGCGGCUAACCCCCUUAACAGGAGCAUUGAUAUGCACUUGGUGAAGAUGCUACCGACUUUGAACUUGGCUGAUUAAGAGAGGUUGGAGGUUGCCAACCGGACAGGUGCAAGAGGAAAAGGUAUAGAUAGAAAAGGUAAGCAUAGAUGGAUUAAAGAGAGAAAAGGGAGAGCACCCAACUACCUAACUCUAUGGCACUCACCUAGUAAACUGAUGCCAUUGUGGACCGAAGGCCACAACACACCAACACUCAUUUCAAAGAAGCAAAUCAGUCGUAACACAAAGACAAACCUCACGAUCACCCAGCAACAAACAUCUCGUUGCUACACGUUAAUGUUAAUUAGAUGGUGGUCUGUCCUAAAAAGGGAAUAACUAAUCUCUAAGGUUGUCGAAGUACGAGGAGAAGAACAAGACGUGUAGUUUAGGGACAUGUGCACAAUAAGAGAGGGAGUUAAAGCAAGGAUUGUAAUCGAAAAGGGAGAAAAAUGCAACCAAGGGCAGGGUAGGUAAACACCAUUCUCGAAUCGAGAUGGGAGAGAUGAUAAUUCAAAAGGUAGGCAUAGGAUAAGCAUCAAUGUACGAUAAAAAGACUACGAAGGUAAUGGUCAUAACAAACCAAAGCACCACUAAGGAUGGAGCUAGGAUAAUACAAGGCUUGCAAAGCGGCAAAGAAAACAAAACAACCAAGGGUGUGAUAGGUAAAACAACACUCUCGAACUGAACUAGGAGAGAGGAGGCUUUAAAAUGCAAUGCAUGUGCAGGAUAAGAAUCAAGGUAAAGAUCGAAGGAUAACAAGGAUUAAGGUGAUAACGGACAAACCCACGACAAAAGGAGGUACUCUAGACAAAACUUACAAGGUGUCAAAGAAGGGGGAAGAGUCAAUGAUGAAAUAGAUGAGGCAUUAUCCUUGAACAGUGAUGGAAAAGAGGGGGCUUCAAAGGGUAGGUUCAAGGUAUGCAGGAAGGCAAGGGCAUAGAUAUCACGAGGGUUUUAAAUGUAAUAACAGACAAGGAUAUAUGAGAGGAGAUAAAUAGGCAUAAGAUGAAGGAUAUAAGUACCAUAAAUAAUGGGGUUAAGACCGGACCUUCAAAUCGAAAAGGAGAGGGUACGUCCAAGGGCUAGAUAGGUAAAUUGCCGCUCUCAAAUUGAGGUGGAAGAGAGGAGAUUUUUUUUAAAGGGCAAGAAUAAAGAUAAGUAUCAAGGCAAGACCGAUGGAUGACAAGGUAAUGGUGAUAGCAAAUAAAACACACAUCAAAGGAUGAAAUUAAGACAAACUUGUAAGGCGACAAGGAGUGAAAAGAAAUCAAAGGAGAGAUAGGUAACUCAUAGCUCUCAAACUGGGUUGAAAGAAAGGGGAGGCUUUUAAAGGAUAAGUUCAAGGUGAGCAUUUAGGUAGAAGACAUAAAUAUCGCAAGGGUCAAAGGCGAUAAUAAACAAGGGCAUAAGGGAAAAGAUGAAGGCACAGAAGAGCCAGUGGUAUAAGUACAACAAAGAAUGGAGUUACAUCAAGGCUUACACGCGGUAAAGAAGAGGAUAUUGCCAAGGGUGAGGUAAGUAAAACACCGCUCCCAAAUUGGGAUGGGAGAUUGGAGAUUUUAAAUAACAGACAUAAUGUAAUCACAAGGUAGGAUAGAGUGCUGAGAAGGGUAAAGGAAAUAACAAACAAAAACACAACAAAUGAUAGAGUUAAAAACUUGUAGGUGACAAAGAAGAGGACACGACCAAGGGAAAAGUAGGCAAAGUACAACGCUCAGAUCAAGAUGGAAAAGAAGAGGUUUUAAAGGGCGGGUAUAAGAUAAACAUCAAAGUAAGAUAUAGAGAUGAUAAGGGUAAAGGUGAUGAUGAUGAAAAGCAUAGUCCAUGGACAGAGUUAAAGCAAGACUUACAAAGUCACGAAGUGGAGAAAACAAUCAAGGAUAAGAUAAGUGAGGUUCUGACAGAAGAGUUGAAAUAGAGAUUCAUAACCGAAAGAAGUUACAAGGAAUUAGCGAGAUCACCAAGUAUGUGCAAAAUAAGAUGACCGCUCAUGGAUCAUUAGGAAACAAGGGUAGUCAUGGAUAUGUUAACUAAAAUGUCUUGAACAGUCAUUGGGGUAUGAAAAUAAGUGUACAUAAGAAUAUAAGAGCAUGCAAGAUUCCAAGGAUACGAGCAUACCAAGACAAGGGAAUGGAAUAAGGCAAAGGAUAAUGACUUAACAUCAUAAUAGGAAGGGAUCUCAGAAGACCAGAAGUUCAUGGACAUAUAAACUGGAAUGUUUAAAUAGAUAACAGAGUUUUUUAGGCAAGUAUUUAAAGCAAGAGUAUUAAAGAAUCUAGGGGUACAAGCAUGCCAAUACCAAGGGAAUAAAGAUAGUCAAGGGGUAGCAAGUUAAUGACGGAAGAAGGAAGAAUCCAAACAGACAAAAAGAUUAUGGUCAGGGGGCAUCUAUAAAGAUGUCGCAAGCACAAGAGUGAGAUCAGAUCUAAUAGAUUGAGAGAAGUAUAGAUCAUACUAUAGGAAAAUACAUUUUGGCAAGGGGGCAUAUAGGAGCACAACAUAGAAUUAGUCAGUAUGACUAAUAUUUUGAAGCAGCAUCAAGGAGGAGGUGAAGUAAUAGACAAUAAGUCCUUAAAAAUGGCCAAUGCUACUCUAGGUUAACGGUCCUACAGUCAGCACGACUUUGAUACCACUUAUGUCACACCCGGUUUUGAAGGUAAACCGAAUGCGAACCAUGUACGUGCCAGGAUCAGUAAUUCACGUACACGGCGAUUACAUAAAUGACUCAUCAUAGCACAAUGCUUUGAAUUACAAUAAAGAGUGAGUAAUAAUAUUACAGACUAGAGCCAUUUACAUAAUAUAAAUCAAAGUACACAGAAUCGAAACGUAGCCAACGUAAACAACCCACCACAGGCAGCUGACUGGGGGAGGUCGCUAGCCUAAUCCUCGAACUCGUCGAAGUCCUAGAACUCCUGGAGAUCCGCCUCGAUGACUUCUUCUUUACCUGAGCAUAGAUUGCACCAAAGGCAACCUGGUGUUUUGUGAAAGCAAGGGUGAGUACACAUCAACGUACUCAGCAAAUGUCCCGUUUGGCUGUAGUGGACUAGCUUUAUGUGGGGUUAAGUCAAGCAGUUGCUUUUAGUUGGUCAGGUUAUUAUUACUAGUAGAAAACCAGGUUUUAGCAUUAACCCAAGUUCUUAACCCAAAGUACCCUUUCCAAACGGAAAGAAUACCACUUACCAUUACCAUAAUCAUAAUAAAAAACCAUCAUCCUCAUCACCACCUGCAAACCAACCAUCUCUGGUCAAAGUAUCUCUAAUCAAAGAGGAUCCCAAGGCUGCUCUUAACCGUGAGCACGACUGAUAUAUCAAUUUCAUUCCUCUGCAGAGGUCGCACACUUUACCCACGAGUCAUGAUUCCCUUUCUGCCCGGAGAGAGCUACUCUCCAUUGACCAGUACCUAGGUGGCCUGGCAGGGUAUCACUACAUAGCUGUUACAAAGAUUCCCUAGAGGUCAUAGCCGCCCGUUAGGUUUCUCCAGUUUGAUAAACACAGUACCUCUCUCCGCAGGAGGGUGACUAACAAAAGCAAAACGAAAGAACCUCGGCACUCAGCCUCGGCAGAGCAAGCACUGUGCCUGGACCCCAUUGACGGCACAACGGCGAAGCAACUACACCUCUAGUUCCUCUAAUUAAUUAGCUAAGGGCAUCUCAUUUCACCAUCAUGGUUGCACUGUUAUCCCGGGUGGUCUCUCAACGAACAGGUCCUUACGGAGAGGUACUCGAGAAACUGCUCGAGUCCCCUAAAUGCCACAAGUACAUCAUCAUAUCCAGAAUAAAAUCAUAGUAUCAUCAUUGUAUCUCAUCAUGUUCAUUGAUUAAAGUAAAGCGCUAGCAUAUAGCUAACCAUAGUAACCCAAAAGGUAAAUCAAGGACAAGGUGAAUAGAAAGCUAGUAAAUCCUUAGGUUUCAAUUAAGUAGUGCAGGAUAGUGAAUUAUAAAUAGAUAGGACAUAAUGGGUCAGAGGACACUUGCCUUCAACAAACAGAUGCUCAGAGUCUUCAAUCUCGUAGAACUUGUAGAGUUUGAUCACUUGGUCGUCGAAGCUUGACCGUCGAUUCCUCGAAGCUUGGAAACGAAUCGUGAUCUAAUCGCAACGCGAAGCGAAGACGAACAAGCACAAGCAAACAAACAUAUGUAUAUGCAAAAGAACAUUACACUAUACAAGAUAAAAUAUUAUAAAUGCGAACAAUAUAAAAUAGAGAGCGCCUCUACGGUUACGCGAGGAAAAGAACCACGAUAGACGAAGCUAUGGUCGAGGGGUUAGCACGUUUACGCUAAACAAGUAUUAAUUAGAACAUCCAAUUCGACAUAAUUAUAUUAAUGGAUAUUAAUCAAAUAUAAUUUAAUACUACUACUUAGUUUUGACUAACUUACUAUUUUAAUAUUUGACAGUUAAGCAAGUAACUUAAUUAAUAUGAGCGAUUCUAAGCGAGACGAAUUAACGACGCACGGCGUGCAAACACGAUGUGCGCGGCGCGCGGACACAAACGACUUAGCGUGCAGACAACGCGCGAUACGCGCGAACGACACGUGGCAAGGCGCGACACACGUGAACGACGCGCGACAACGCGUGCGAACAACACGACGACGACGAGCGCCACAACACGACAGAGUGCAGACGACGCGCGAACACGCGCGACAUAGCACGCUGACGGCACACGAAAACAGUGCGCGCGACCAGGGUGAACGACGUGCGAACCCGCACGCCACCGCGAGCACAUCACGCACGAACAACGCGCAGACAGCACGUGAACAACGCGUGAAGCAGCACGCCACCGCGCUCGGAACAGUAUCCGCGACAGACGAGAAUAACUGAACAGGUGACAAAUUUAUACUAAACGAAUGUUAAAUAAAUAGAAAGUAGUUAAAUUGAUAUUAUCCAGGUUAGCCCAAGUUGAACACUACACAUUUAAUCUGAUUAGAAUAUUAAUCUAAUAAAUAUUAAUCGAGCGAGCCUUAAGUUAAGUAUCUAAAAUAUAUGACCCGAUAAAUUAACAUUAUUAACGUGAGUGUUCGUAAGCGAAAACAAUUUAUUAUUACGAGUAGACGUUGUGCGACACUCAUGAUCGUCACGCGAGACAAUGCGCACGACACCGCACGACACGCGUGAGGCAACACGACUACGCGCGUGAACAACACGAUGACGCGCAAACGAUGUCGUGCGUGAACAACAACAAAUAAAUAAUUAAUUAAAAGUAUUUAAGUUGGUAUUAAUCAAGUUAAUUAACAUUUAUAAUCGUAGAAGCCUGAGUUAAAACUACAACCUAGUUUUAAAUAGAAGGUAAUAACUAUAGAAUACCAAAAGAAUAGAUAAUUAAUUAAUCAAUUAAACUUGCGACAUGACUAGAUAACAUUACUAAUACAGAAUCGAUGUUGUUACGAAGUUGACACAACUAAAACGAGCUGACACAGGUUUGCGACGCAUAACGUAUUGAACAAUUAACAAUUCGUGGACUAUAAACGACACACUAUACACGAACUGCUAAACACAUAUCGCAAUUACACUAGGUAAGUAUGGAAUCAAAAUAUUUAAUUUUGGUAGUAAUCACGUUGUCGUAUCUUUUAUAAAAGCGUGACUUAAAACUAUAGAUUGGUCUUAAUUAUAUUAAUAUUUUUUUUUUAAAAUCGAUGGACAAACUAGCAAUUAAUUAAACACAUAAAACAUGUGUCGUGACAUAAUAUUCUUAAAGUGUGCACGACGUCCUUACGAAGUUAACGCAACCGGAACAGAAUGAAACAUAUAUCCAACUCAGAAGUUAAUGCAUAUAUAUAGAAAUAUAUUAAUCGCAGAUUAACGACGACAGACUACGCGCACGGGGUAGACGAAGGGUACACCGGGGGUAGACGAAGCUCACCUCGUCGCGGCGACGGCGGACGGCGAGACAAACGCGGUGUGGCUCCCUGCUCGAUGGUGAGAAGUUGAAGGCGCCAACAACAGUGCGAUGGCGAACUCGGCGCGGUGAGAAAACCGAAUGGCGACACGGGUGACGGGGCAGUCAUGGUGCGAGGCUGCACACCGGCCACACGAUGUGGGCGGAAGCGAGGCUGCAGCGACAAGGCGGGGCUACGAUGAUGUCCUCUUUGUAGCCUUCUUCAACCUCCCUUCAAUGGGGAAAAAUAGCAAGGUGGGGAGAAGAGCAUGGCCGAAUCGGCCAUGGAGCCCUUGGACACAGCAGGGAGGCGGCACUGGGGUUCCUGCAGGAGGGCGGCGCCAUGGGUGUGGGUAGGAUGCGAGGGAUUCAUGCGUUGCGCGGAUUUUCCCAUAGCCGCGCGUAGGAGACGCUCAGGCCAAGGCGCCGAGGAGAGGCGCGACGUCGGCCAUGGUUGUGCGCGCAACAGGGAGGGCCGGCGAGAUGCUGUGGCUGCGAGAGAGAAGAACAGGGCCAAUGAGAUGGGCGUGAAUUGCUGCUGCGAAAUCGCCGCGACGUGGGCGGAUUUCUAGGCGCGCGUGGACGAAACGGACUGUUGCUCGGGGAAGAAGGGUCUGACUAGUGAGACGCGUCGUGG
rnacentral:lncRNA from 1 species